AAGCUCAAAUUUGAAAUCUGGCACCUUCGGUGUCCGAGUUGUAAUUUGAAGAAGCUACUUUGGGGCUAGUCUUCGCCAUGUUCCUUGGAACCGGACGUCCUGAGGGUGAAAAUCCCGUACGGAGAGGAGUCUAGUCCUAUGUAAAGUGCUUUCGACGAGUCGAGUUGUUUGGGAAUGCAGCUCUAAGUGGGUGGUAAAUUCCAUCCAAAGCUAAAUAUAGGUGAGAGACCGAUAGCGAACAAGUACAGUGAGGGAAAGAAGAAAAGAACUAAGAAAAGAGAGUGAAAAAGUACGUGAAAUUGUUGAAAGGGAAGGGCAUUUGAUCAGACAUGGUGUUUUGCGACCCUCGCUCCUUGUGGGUGGGGAUCUCGCAGCUCACUGGGCCAACAUCAGUUUUGGCGGUGGCAUAAAUCUUGCGAACGUGGCUGCUUCGGAGAAGCGUUAUACCCCAGGGGAAUACUCCAGCCGGACUGAGACUGCGACUUUUCACG
rnacentral:rRNA from 2 species